UACGGGGGGAGCAAGCGUUGUUCGGAUUUACUGGGCGUAAAGGGCGCGUAGGCGGCGCAACAAGUCACUUGUGAAAUCUCCGGGCUUAACCCGGAGCGGGCAAGUGAUACUGUCGUGCUAGAGUGCGGAAGGGGCUACUGGAAUUCUCGGUGUAGCGGUGAAAUGCGUAGAUAUCGAGAGGAACACCUGCGGCGAAGGCGGGUAGCUGGGCCGACACUGACGCUGAGGCGCGAAAGCCAGGGGAGCGAACGGG
rnacentral:rRNA from 1 species